GGGCGCGUAGCUCAGAUGGUAGAGCGCUCGCUUAUCACGCGAGAGGUAAGGGGCUCGAUACCCUGCGCCUCCA